rnacentral:rRNA from 1 species
UACGGGAGCAGCAGUGGGGAAUAUUGCACAAUGGGCGCAAGCCUGAUGCAGCCAUGCCGCGUGUAUGAAGAAGGCCUUCGGGUUGUAAAGUACUUUCAGUCGUGAGGAAGGUGUUAAGGUUAAUAACCUUAGCAAUUGACGUUAGCGACAGAAGAAGCACCGGCUAACUCCGUGUCAGCAGCCGCGGUAAUACGGAGGGUGCGAGCGUUAAUCGGAAUUACUGGGCGUAAAGGGCACGCAGGCGGUUAAUUAAGUUGGAUGUGAAAUCCCCGGGCUUAACCUGGGAAUGGCAUUCAAGACUGGUUAGCUAGAGUCUUGUAGAGGGGGUAGAAUUCCAUGUGUAGCGGUGAAAUGCGUAGAGAUGUGGAGGAAUACCGGUGGCGAAGGCGGCCCCUGGACAAAGACUGACGCUCAUGUGCGAAAGCGUGGGGAGCAAAC